rnacentral:rRNA from 1 species
GACGAACGCUGGCGGCGUGCUUAACACAUGCAAGUCGAGCGGAAAGGCCCUUCGGGGUACUCGAGCGGCGAACGGGUGAGUAACACGUGAGUAAUCUGCCCUUGGCUUUGGGAUAACUACCGGAAACGGUGGCUAAUACCGGAUACGACAACCGUCUGCAUGGGCUGGUUGUGGAAAGUUUUUUCGGCCAGGGAUGUGCUCGCGGCCUAUCAGCUUGUUGGUGGGGUAAUGGCCUACCAAGGCUUCGACGGGUAGCCGGCCUGAGAGGGUGACCGGCCACACUGGGACUGAGACACGGCCCAGACUCCUACGGGAGGCAGCAGUGGGGAAUAUUGGACAAUGGGCGGAAGCCUGAUCCAGCAACGCCGCGUGAGGGAUGACGGCCGUCGGGUUGUAAACCUCCUUCAGUACCGACGAAGCGCCGAUGAUGGUGGUGACGGUAGGUACAGAAGAAGCACCGGCCAACUACGUG